GACAGAGGUGCCAAGCGUUAGGCGGAAUCACUGGGCUUAAAGCGUGUGUAGGCGGGUGCCUAAGUACCUUGUGAAAUCCCACGGCUCAACCGUGGAACUGCUGGGUAUACUGGGUGCCUUGGGUCAUCCAGGGGCUGCCGGAACAAAUGGUGGAGCGGUGAAAUGCGUAGAGAUCGGGAGGAACACCAGUGGCGAAGGCGGCUACCUGGACCAGCACUGACACUGAAGCACGAAAGCGUGGGGAGCAAACAGG
rnacentral:rRNA from 1 species